GUUGCUUGUAAUCUUCAAGAUUGGUUGAAGAGCAUCCACCUAAAGACCCACAUCUUUAGUCACCAGGCAAA
rnacentral:ncRNA from 1 species